CAUUUCACUCCUAAAAAUGAAGUCCUUGUCUCAGCUUCUGUGGCUGUUAAUGCUCUGGAUCCCUGGAUCAAGUGGAAAUGUUGUGAUGACCCAGACUCCACUCUCCUUUCCUGUCACACUAGGAGAGCUGACCUCCAUCUCCUGCAGGUCUAGUCAGAACUUUCUAUAUAGCAAUGGGAACACAUACUUGAAAUGGUUCCUGCAGAAGCGAGGGGUGUCUCCACAACUCCUGAUCUCUGAGGUUUCCAACAGAGAAUCUGGGAUCUCAGAAAGACUCAGUGGCAGUGGGUCAGGCACAGAUAGCACAUUGAAAAUCAGCAGUGUGGAAACUGAGGAUGCAGGGGUGUAUUACUGCUGUCAAGCUACACAUGAUCCUCCCACAGUGAUACAUCCCUGAACUAGAACCUCUCCUCUGGCUGGGUGAGCAGCCCUCAUGUGUUGUUGGUCUGGGAAGCUGCAGAGAAGAUUGUCUGAAUGAGCUGAGGAGGAAGACAUUGUGAUCAAUGUGACUGGGUGGACAUGAAGAGCAUAUGAUAAUUGGAUGACUUGCAAACUACAAAGAGCAGGAAAAAAUC